rnacentral:rRNA from 1 species
UACGGAGGGGGCUAGCGUUGUUCGGAAUUACUGGGCGUAAAGCGCACGUAGGCGGCUUUGCAAGUUAGAGGUGAAAGCCCGGGGCUCAACUCCGGAAUUGCCUUUAAAACUGCAUCGCUAGAAUUGUGGAGAGGUAAGUGGAAUUCCGAGUGUAGAGGUGAAAUUCGUAGAUAUUCGGAAGAACACCAGUGGCGAAGGCGACUAUCUGGACGGUUUCUGACACUAAGACUCGAAAGCGUGGGGAGCAAACAGG